GAGUGAUUCUGUUUCCACGGUAACGUAAUUCUCGGCUGCAUUUCUUCAGGGAUGAAGGACAACUGCUCAGUCUACGACAUGUGUGCUGGAAGGAUGAUUAGCAGUGGAGAAAGGAGUGAACCAAGACCAGGAAAGAACUGAAGAAGAGAACAAACAUACCGAUCACUUGCACGGCCGGUUCCACGUCCGUUGUGGCCUCUUCCAACAAGGACAGUAGCUGGGCUGAUAUCUGGUGCACGGACUCGAUGUUGCUGAACAAGCCGUCCACGUCCAGCCUAUCAACCUGAAGAAGAAAAGCACUGAGCAUCAGUCAAUGGGAAGACAACUACUAUGUGCACCAAACUGCCUCCUGAUAAACAGCAAGGAUUUUCCCUGCUAGACCAUGCUGCUCCCCUCACCCUGCUCUGUGAACGUGCUCAUUUAGGGCUUUUAAAUGUAAAUGUAUAGAUUUCAUCAAGGGCAUCAUGAUGAUGUAUUAUACCUCUGUCUUAAACACCACCAACAAAAAUGUUUGACUUGAGUGUACAGCAGUGUUUCUCAAUAUAAACCAGACUGGGAAGAUUUAGACCUAAUGCUUAUUUCUAUUAACUGCCCUCUAUGAAGGUAUGAAUUACUGAACUUAGACUAUUUUACUGUCAGGCUAAAGAGAUAUCUCAGUGGUUAGAGCACUCUCUGCUCUUCUGGAGGACUGGAGUUCAAAUGCAAGCACCCACGCCAGACUGCCUGACACUUCCUGUAACUCCAGCUCCAGGAAAUCUCACACUUUCUUUUGGCCUCUGGGGGUACCUGAAUACAUGCAUUAUAGCACACACAAACACACAAGAAAGUUUAAAAUAGAGUGUUUUAUUGCUUUCACAGCAGAAAUCAGACCAUAUCUUUUUCAAAGAUCCAUUUUCAAAGCUGUUUUAAACCACAGAUGUUCUAGAAGGGAUGGCAGAUAAAUGUGGUGGGGUACUUUGUGCACUUUUCCUUUGAAAUAAGUAUACUAAUUAAGGAUUUGUCAUAUGUUAUAAUUUCAGGCAUAUUCUCAAAAUCAGUGGGAUCAUACUUAUACCCUAUAUAUGCUUAUGAUAGAAUUUUAUUUAUUUGUCUUUCCUUAGAUAUUUCCUAGGUGCCCUCUAUGUCCUAGGAAAUGCAACAGGAAAGGCAUCCUAUCGAAGGAAGUGACUAAUAGAGAAAAGGAUAGCCGACUAUAUUCAAUAGUCUGAGUGUGGUAAGAAAUGCACUGCUUGGUCUUAAUUUUAAAAAGAAAUCUUCUUUCAUAAUUAAACUAUGUUUACUCAGGACACAACCACAUUGAUAUAGGACCAGCUGAGGUUGACACACAACAAAGAACAGGAAUUAGUGCCAUUUGUCUGUGAUUUAUUGUGCUUGAGUUCAUGGACGGAUUGCCAGGUGUAGGAAGUUCUGUUUUCUAUAUUAUGAAGCAUAUUCAGUAUUAUACAAAAUGAGUAGAAGCACAUAACAUCUACUGGCUCAUGUUAGCUAACAUGUAUGAAAUUAUCAUUUAAUAAUUUGCUAUCAACUGGUCAAAACCAUACAGACCUAUUCCAGUACUUAUCUUGAAGAUUUGCCUACUAUGACAGGUAGUAAUAAAAAGUGACUUAUUUUAAAUGCA